GACGAACGCUGGCGGCGUGCUUAACACAUGCAAGUCGAACGGAAAGGCCCUGCUGUUGUGGGGUGCUCGAGUGGCGAACGGGUGAGUAACACGUGAGUAACCUGCCCUUGACUUUGGGAUAACUUCAGGAAACUGGGGCUAAUACCGGAUAGGAGCUCCUGCUGCAUGGUGGGGGUUGGAAAGUUUCGGCGGUUGGGGAUGGACUCGCGGCUUAUCAGCUUGUGGGUGGGGUAGUGGCUUACCAAGGCUUUGACGGGUAGCCGGCCUGAGAGGGUGACCGGCCACAUUGGGACUGAGAUACGGCCCAGACUCCUACGGGCGGCAGCAGUGGGGAAUAUUGCACAAUGGGCGGAAGCCUGAUGCAGCAACGCCGCGUGCGGGAUGACGGCCUUCGGGUUGUAAACCGCUUUCGCCUGUGACGAAGCGUGAGUGACGGUAAUGGGUAAAGAAGCACCGGCUAACUACGUG
rnacentral:rRNA from 1 species